rnacentral:rRNA from 1 species
AGUGAACGGUGGCGGUAGGCCUAACACAUGCCAGUCGAACGGCAGCACAGUAAGAGCUUGCUCUUACGGGUGGCGAGUGGCGGACGGGUGAGGAAUACAUCGGAAUCUACUUUUUCGUGGGGGAUAACGUAGGGAAACUUACGCUAAUACCGCAUACGACCUACGGGUGAAAGCAGGGGAUCUUCGGACCUUGCGCGAUUGAAUGAGCCGAUGUCGGAUUAGCUAGUUGGCGGGGUAAAGGCCCACCAAGGCGACGAUCCGUAGCUGGUCUGAGAGGAUGAUCAGCCACACUGGAACUGAGACACGGUCCAGACUCCUACGGGAGGCAGCAGUGGGGAAUAUUGGACAAUGGGCGCAAGCCUGAUCCAGCCAUACCGCGUGGGUGAAGAAGACCUUCGGGUUGUAAAGCCCUUUUGUUGGGAAAGAAAAGCAGCAGGUUAAUACCCCGCUGUUCUGACGGUACCCAAAGAAUAAGCACCGACUAACUUC